ensembl:lncRNA
GUUAUUCAUCUGCAAGCUCGUUGUGUGAAAAAAUUCAUCUAGGAGGUUCUCUUUUGUUGCUGUUACAUUUAUUCAGGUAAUCUCUACAGGCUGCCACAAUUACUGGGCUAGAUGGGGUCUUGACCUAACCCCUUUGGCUAUUUUCAUACUUCUUCUAUUGACGAUAGAAGGAAAGGCUUCAGCUGUCUUGGGACUUAAGAGUCGCUUCUGGAGUAGGAAGGCAACAGAAAUCACUCCUGUUUUUCACUGACGAUGGUUGAAGCAUAGUGGGUUUAUUUUCCUUAUCUUCAUGCACAAUUUAACUUGAAACAACAUGUAACAAUUGACUAUAACAAACGAAUAGGAGGAAUGAUGAGAAAUUGAAGAACAGGGGGAACUGUGAUAAAAUCAUUACAAGAUUCCAGGUGACUUGUAUCACUGGUUUUGUGAAGAGAAUGAAGUACUAAAAGCAAAGGAGUAUGAAAUAAAACAUUCCAGCAUAUGUGAAAGGACUAUGGAAAUACUGCAAACAGGAACACCUUGAAUAAGCCAAUUCUCUCACAAAUUGCCAGACUGAAUUACUCUGAGUUUUUUUUUAAAAAAAUGAAACAUAAGGUUUAUAGAGUGUAGUCAUGUUUCUGUGCUUCAUCUGUGUGUGUGUGUUUAAAUGCAUAAAGAUCCCCAAAAUUGUAGGGAUAGAAACAUAUGUUUGGACUACCUUUACUUUCUAAUACCGAAAUGAGACUCUUCUUUCCCUACAGCUUCGAAGAGAGAAUAAUUGCUUUGAAAUCUUGACAUUUAAGUUAAGGGAUCUUGCUCACAACUUCACUCAUUAGAGAACUGCAUCAAACUGUCAUGUUAGGUUCUUUUUUGUUGUUCAGAUGCUGUGUAGACCAUGAGUUGAUUCUUGACAUGUGUUGUCCAUUUGGAUUGAAGAUAAGUGGAAGAACAUUGAUAAAUGGAACACUAAAGUGUGUUCCUUGACCAUCAAGUGAAAUGAGGUUGUCAUAUGUAACCAGAGGUGGUAGAAAAAAUAUGUAUGCAGUUCUAUAUCUAUACACUUAUAUGUAAAUAUAUACAAGAAACCUAGAGUGAAUCUUACAGGUCUUGGGAACAAGGGGAAACAGCAGAAGCUUUAUUGCUGAGUUUGUUCGCUCUUGCAGUUCAGCUUUGUUAAGCAUUGUGAAUACAUACAGAACGCUAAUGAGAGGAUAGCUGUUCGCAUCAGAGGGUUGCAUUU